GACGAACGCUGGCGGCGUGCUUAACACAUGCAAGUCGAACGGAAAGGCCCUGCUUUUGUGGGGUGCUCGAGUGGCGAACGGGUGAGUAACACGUGAGUAACCUGCCCUUGACUUUGGGAUAACUUCAGGAAACUGGGGCUAAUACCGGAUAGGAGCUCCUGCUGCAUGGUGGGGGUUGGAAAGUUUCGGCGGUGGGGGAUGGACUCGCGGCUUAUCAGCUUGUUGGUGGGGUAGUGGCUUACCAAGGCUUGGACGGGUAGCCGGCCUGAGAGGGUGACCGGCCACCUAGGGGCGGAGUUACGGCCCGGACACAUACGGGAGGGAGGAGGGGGUAGUGUUGAACAGGGGGCGGAAGCAUGAUGGAUCAAGCCCGGGUGCGGGAGGGCGGCAUUCGGGUGGGAAGCCGAUUUCGCUUAUGCGGAAGGGUAAUGACCGUAACGGGUGAAUAAGCCCCGGCUAACUUCGGG
rnacentral:rRNA from 1 species